rnacentral:rRNA from 1 species
CCUACGGGAGGCUGCAGUGAGGAAUAUUGGUCAAUGGACGAGAGUCUGAACCAGCCAAGUAGCGUGAAGGAUGACUGCCCUAUGGGUUGUAAACUUCUUUUAUAUGGGAAUAAAAUGUUCCACGUGUGGGAUUUUGUAUGUACCAUAUGAAUAAGGAUCGGCUAACUCCGUGCCAGCAGCCGCGGUAAUACGGAGGAUCCGAGCGUUAUCCGGAUUUAUUGGGUUUAAAGGGAGCGUAUGUGGAUUGUUAAGUCAGUUGUGAAAGUUUGCGGCUCAACCGUAAAAUUGCAGUUGAAACUGGCAGUCUUGAGUACAGUAGAGGUGGGCGGAAUUCGUGGUGUAGCGGUGAAAUGCUUAGAUAUCACGAAGAACUCCGAUUGCGAAGGCAGUUCACUGGACUGCAACUGACACUGAGGCUCGAAAGUGUGGGUAUCAAACAGGAUUAGAUACCCUAGUAGUC